UGGGGAAUUUUGGACAAUGGGCGCAAGCCUGAUCCAGCCAUGCCGCGUGAGUGACGAAGGCCUUAGGGUUGUAAAGCUCUUUUGGCGGGGAAGAUAAUGACGGUACCCGCAGAAUAAGCUCCGGCUAACUUCGUGCCAGCAGCCGCGGUAAUACGAAGGGAGCUAGCGUUGUUCGGAAUCACUGGGCGUAAAGCGCACGUAGGUGGGCAGUUAAGUCAGGGGUGAAAGCCCGAGGCUCAACCUCGGAAUUGCCUCUGAUACUGGCUGUCUAGAGUUCGGGAGAGGUGAGUGGAAUUCCUAGUGUAGAGGUGAAAUUCGUAGAUAUUAGGAAGAACACCGGUGGCGAAGGCGGCUCACUGGCUCGAUACUGACACUGAGGUGCGAAAGCGUGGGGAGCAAACAGGAUUAGAUACCCAUGUAGUCCCUGAGCGGGCUGGCAAGGCGCAU
rnacentral:rRNA from 1 species